UAGCCUACUGGUUAAGGCAAUGGAUCGCCAAUCCGGAGACGGCGGGUUCGAUUCCCGU
rnacentral:tRNA from 1 species